GGCAGCGUGGCCUAGUGGAAAGAGCACGGUCCUUGGAGGGUCUGGGGCCUUGGGUUCUAAUCCCACCUCUGCCA
rnacentral:tRNA from 1 species